GGCAACAUAGGAUAUUAGGAUUGAAAAAGAAGAUGAAUAGCAUUGGAGAACAAGAAAUAUCUGCAAAACUUAAAGAAGACGCAGCCAGAUUUUUCUUUUGGUCUGAGCGUUUGCUUCUCUUCGUGUUACUUCUCUUCUCCUGCAGAUCAGUCUUACUAUUUAUUGGUCCUCUCCUUUUCACCACUACCUUUGUCUCAUUAUUUUUUCACUGGUUAGGCCGUAAAAACUCUUCGGCAGGCCGCUAUGGUAUUUCUACUAGCCGAAUCUGGCUGUUUCUGUUCGACCGGUUCAUGAUUCUGGCGGCUCUAGGCGCUUAUAAGGCCGUCUGGCUUUUGCGUCUCACCGUUAUCAUCGCCGUCGCGGUUCACUAUGCUUACAUCAUCCAGUACCUUGAUAUCUCUUAUAAAACCCAUCACGCCGAGCUGAGAGGGAUUGAUGAUGAGUCUAGUGAGGAAGGAGAUGUGAGCAAGGAAGUGGAGAAGACGAAGGAGUUAUUGGAAGAUUUGAAAGAGGAUGGAAAGAAGAUGGAUACAGAGAUGGAGUUUAUAGACCAACUUAUGAUCAAUCCAGAUCUUGAAACACAUCGAAGAAACUUGUUUACGUAACUCUUAAAGUUACGUAAAGAGACGAGAGAUGUUGGAGGAAAGAUAAGAACAUAUAAGGAGUUGAUGAGUAGUUUUGUCAACUCGGAAGUUACUCUAGUUAGAUCCAAGGUCGGAGAGGAUAUAAAAGAUUCGAGAGAAGGGGCAUCUCUAGCUGACCAAGUUCACAAAGCCUACUUUGCGAUCCAAGAAACUGCAAAAGCGGCGAAAGCAACAUCUGACACAGCUUAUCUAACCUUCUUAUUUGCGCAAGAAAUCUCUGCACAAAUUCAAAACAAGAGAUGGAUGAUGAGAUUAGAUCUCGAGGGAUUGCCAGAGCUAAGAGAGGAAGUGAGGCGAAUGUCGUUGCAUUUUGCAGCUAGAAGGAUGGAGGCGAAGGUUGCUGCCGACAGAGCCGCCAAGGAGCUUUCAAAUGCAAGGGUGAAGCUGAUGGAGGCGGUCGGGAUCCGACAGUGGGAGGAACACAAAGUCGACUAAAUCUUUGUGCGGCGGUGGCAGCACCGGCGGGUCUUCGUCAGCGAGCGAGAUUCCGGUUGACUGGUUUUAACUGAGGUUUCGGAUCCUGGAUCGGAAUCUGGAGAGCCGGAGCUUGGAUCCUCUGAUCCGCAAGCCAUGUAUGCGGAGAAACAUGUUUUAACUGAGGUGCCUGUGAAGGAGAUCUCUUUUGAAGGACGCAAACCCUGAAGCCGAUGUCUCGGAGAUAUCUACAAUAGCAGGCGAAGUGGUGACGGAUGGUGAGAAGUCGAAGGCAGGGAAGAAGCAAGCUAAGGCUCCAUCGGCAAAGCUACUUUCUCAGUAUUCUCAGCCCAUUAUAGAUUCCGGCUCCCAAACGGAACGGUGUACGUAACCGACCCAAUCUCCAAGCGAUGAAUCAUUACGACCUUCCGAUUUCUGCAGGCCGUUGCUCUAAUACGGCUGAGGUCCGUCUACUGAGGUCUUGGGAGGGAAGCUCGGAAUAUCAGGAAAGGUGGAGAGCUGAUGAGUAUUGACAUGCUUCUCUCGACGAACAGUCUAUGCUUGUCCAGGGACCAUUAGUUCAACCCGCGUUGAUACUUUCCGGAAUCGUCUGAGGGAAAGGCUCCGUGUACUCGCUGAGUGGUUUUGAAGUAACCCUAAAUUCCGACUCUCUGACUGCAUACCAACAAAGAACUACAAGAUUUUGCUCUUCUUUUUUCAUUAAAAUUAUCCCAAUAGUAUUAUUCAGCUAUUUAAGGUCAAAUAUUUUUAUAGAUUUGAUUCAUCCAAAGAGUUUGAAGCGAGUUGUGUUCUUAAAGGCGAUCUCUAUGGCAAUCCACGGAUUAUCAAGCCCUAUAUUAUGUUGCGAUUUUAUUUAAUUAUUUAAACAAUGUUACAAAGAGGAAGCGCUACUGAAGAUGUGAAGGAGUUUGGUAGAUCUUCAAGACUCUGCUUUUGAGUUAUACUGAUGCAAGUGGGAGCUGUAAUAAAAAGAAGAUAUGAUCUCUAACGAUGAACUGAAACCAGGAGAUCACAUUUAUUCCUGACGCAAGGCUUAUAUCUGUUCCCAUCACGGGAUCUACAUAGCAGUUGGAAAGGUAAUUCAUUUCACUCGUGGAGGUGGGUUAGAGAUCGAAACAGGGACUUUUCUAGACAAGCUCAUCGUUAGCGCUGUGACCAAUCACGGAAGAGACAACCCUUGUCCUAACAACUGUGGAAAGCAAUCCAACACGCAUAGAGUUAUCUCUUCUGGUCUUGAAUGCUUUCUCUCCGGAUGUGAUCUCCUUCUCUUCGAGUACGGCGUCUCUCCGGCUCUGUUAAUGGUGAGGAGACUGUAACGGCUUUAGGAAGCAGAGUUGAUCGGUUAGAGAAAUAGAUCAAAGAGCUUGUCCUUGGAAUCCGACACGUUGACAUCGAAGCACACAAUCCCAUAGACCAAUCUCUAUGAUCUAACUUUCCUCCAAAGGUCUGAGUUAUCGAUGCAUUCUCUUGGCCUCAAGAAAUGGAACCCACAAGCCUGGCACUUUUGGAGAAAUAGAAAAGAGAACUGUGUCAGGUUUCUGAUUGGGAAAUAUAUGCUUAUGAAUUCUUCUCUGUCGUGUUUUUAAUAUCAGAAACUCUCAUGUGUUUGCUAAAUAGAAAGGUUGUGCGAAUGAUUGAGCUUUGUUUAGUGAAACCAAACCAAAGUGUCUGUAUAUCUACUUAACAACCGUUUACCUGUUCAUUAAAGUAGAUACAAGUUGUUUAAAGAAAAUCAAGUUGAUUUA